rnacentral:rRNA from 1 species
AUUGAACGCUGGCGGCAUGCUUUACACAUGCAAGUCGAACGGUAACAGGCCUUCGGGUGCUGACGAGUGGCGAACGGGUGAGUAAUGCAUCGGAACGUACCCAGAGGUGGGGGAUAACGCAGCGAAAGCUGUGCUAAUACCGCAUGUGAUCUGAGGAUGAAAGCGGGGGACCGAGCAGGAAUGUUUGGCCUCGCGCCUUUGGAGCGGCCGAUGUCGGAUUAGCUAGUUGGGUGGGUAAAGGCCUACCAAGGGGACGAUCCGUAGCUGGACUGAGAGGACGACCGGCCACACUGGGACUGAGACACGGCCCAGACUCCUACGGGAGGCAGCAGUGGGGAAUUUUGGACAAUGGGCGCAAGCCUGAUCCAGCAAUGCCGCGUGCGGGAAGAAGGCCUUCGGGUUGUAAACCGCUUUUGGCAGGAACGAAACGGUGUCCGCUAAUACCGGGCGCUAAUGACGGUACCUGCAGAAUAAGCACCGGCUAACUACGUG